GACGAACGCUGGCGGCGUGCUUAACACAUGCAAGUCGAACGGAAAGGCCCUGCUUUUGUGGGGUGCUCGAGUAGCGAACGGGUGAGUAACACGUGAGUAACCUGCCCUUGACUUUGGGAUAACUUCAGGAAACUGGGGCUAAUACCGGAUAGGAGCUCCUGCUGCAUGGUGGGGGUUGGAAAGUUUCGGCAGUUGGGGAUGGACUCGCGGCUUAUCAGCUUGUUGGUGGGGUAGUGGCUUACCAAGGCUUUGACGGGUAGCCGGCCUGAGAGGGUGACCGGCCACAUUGGGACUGAGAUACGGCCCAGACUCCUACGGGAGGCAGCAGUGGGGAAUAUUGCACAAUGGGCGGAAGCCUGAUGCAGCAACGCCGCGUGCGGGAUGACGGCCUUCGGGUUGUAAACCGCUUUCGCCUGUGACGAAGCGUGAGUGACGGUAAUGGGUAAAGAAGCACCGGCUAACUACGUG
rnacentral:rRNA from 1 species